GACGAACGCUGGCGGCGUGCCUAACACAUGCAAGUCGAGCGGGGUUGAAGCGAGGGGUAACUCGGACUUCUACCUAGCGGCGGACGGGUGAGUAACGCGUGGGCAACCUGCCUCAAGGUUUGGGAUAACAGCUCGAAAGGGCUGCUAAUACCGGAUAUGCCUGUGGCCUCGCAUGGGGCUAUGAGCAAAGGGGAAACCCGCCUUGAGAUGGGCCCGCGUCCCAUCAGCUAGUUGGUGAGGUGAAGGCUCACCAAGGCGACGACGGGUAGCCGGCCUGAGAGGGUGACCGGCCACACUGGGACUGAGACACGGCCCAGACUCCUACGGGGGGCAGCAGUGGGGGAUCUUGCACAAUGGGCGAAAGCCUGAUGCAGCGACGCCGCGUGAGCGAAGAAGGCCUUGGGUUGUAAAGCUCUGUCUGGAGGGACGAAACGAAAUAGACGGUACCUCCGGAGGAAGCCACGGCUAACUACGUG
rnacentral:rRNA from 1 species